UUUUCUUCAAAUUCUUUAGUUCACAAUCGCUUUUGCAACUUUGUACUUUUGUGUUACCCGCAGCAACAACUCAGCCUCCAUUUAAAAAAACUCUGAGCUUUUCCUCGACAUUUUGCUGCGACGUUUCAAAGAGCUGGAAAGUAAAUGUCUUGCGUUUCACGCAUGCGCAGCACUGGAAUGUAAGCGUUUUCGGCCGUUUCAAUGUGGACGCACAACUCUGUGAAAACGACUAAAAACGAUAGUGUGGACAUAGCCUCCACAGGCCUCAGUUAGCAUGUUAAAUGUUAAUGCUAAAGACAUUACAGUUACAAAAAGAUUGAACCAAGUACAACUUGUUUGGAGGGGUGACGAAGAGACUCUUCUCUCAAAAAGAACAUGGCAGCAUGGGUGAGGUUUACAGAUUUUAAUCUGAAUAAAACAAAAAAGUCCUGGAACAAUGUCCUUUGUACCAAAAAGAUCGAAGUAGUUAUGCUAUUAGCUAUUUUUGUGCUGAUAUGCACAAACAUCUCAUACCAGAUGUCAAGCACGGUGGUGGAGGGCUGAUGAUUUUGACUUGUUUUGCAGGCACAACACCUGAGUCUGACAGUGAACUCUUGUGUAUUUUAACUGUCCGGCAGCUAAAGCUUGGACCUUAAAGGUGUCACACAACAAGACAAUGAUCCCAAGCACACUGUGCACACAGUGGAAUGGCCAAAGUCCAGACCUCAGCCGAAUGAAAUGCGUGUUGAGACCUUAAGAGAGCUGUGUGUAAAUAAAUGCCUGCAAAGCUCAAUGGACUAAAGCAAUGCUGUAAAUAAGAAUGUGCCAGAAUUUCUGAUAAAAUCACACAGGAAACAAUUACUUCAAGUCAUUGCUGCUAAAGGUGGUUCUGCAAGCUAGUGAAUGAGGGGCAUGUACUUUGUUUUUCACAGACUGGAGACUAUAAUCCACGUAAUUCAACGACAACUGUUAUGUAAAAAAGUGAACACCUGAAUCUAAAGACGUUCACUUUGUGCUCACUUUUCAGUCAGUUUCUAAGUUGAACUCACACAUUUAAACAUCAGCUCGUCACGCGUGCUCAAACUGACUCUGCACCUCCUCCAGGUUUUGGGGCCUUACGGGCUUAAAUUCUUUGACAUUGUGUCCUAAAUGAAUGAAGAGUUUUCAGUGGAGCCUGCAGGCUGCAGCUCAGUGCCUAUGAAUCCUGCUUCAGCUUGGCAGUGUCAUCGAUGGUGUGGUUUACUGUGCUAUCUUGGGCUGAGCUCCAGAGUGGCUGGGAUGACAUCAUUGAACACAUCAUGCAUCACCUCCUGCCAGCUCAGCAGGAGAGAUGCAAAGUCAGGUACAGGGCGACACUGAAAACACACAUGCACACAUGCGUGCACACACACACACACAUACACACACAGACACACACACACAGACACAGCAACGCUUUACUCAGCAGGUCGUCUGAGGAUCAGCGUUGCUAAUUUCUUGGCGCCCCUGUGAAAGUGUUUUAAGUGAAAGUUGGUGUGAAUCAGACUGACACUUGUGACUCUGCGUGACGAAGUCCAACACCAGCCUGUAACCCAACGGGAAAACAAGAAAUAAAGAUCUUGUCUUUAUUAAACAGAGGCUGAAUUAUUUCCUCCAGUUUGUGAACAUGAGUCACUUCUCAAAAGCACUUCAGAAACGAGGCUGGAGUAUCAAACAGGCAACUUUCCAUCUGUACCGCACACUCAAGGGCCCCCAGAAAAGAGUAAAGGUCACUCUUGUGAGUAUUCAUAUUCCACUUUCAUCAAAUUUGAGAGACAUAAAAGAGACAUCUUAAAGAAUAAUGGACUGACUUUUAGUGGCUGGUGCUCGGAUGAACAGAUUAAAUGGACCCAGGGGUCUAAAAGCUCCGUGGAGCCCAUCUGAAUAGGAGCAAAAAAAAAAGCAAACUAAUAGCAGCGUUCUUGUUUUCGCUCUUUUGGUGUGAUUUUUAAAAAACUGUAGUGUCAUUUCAGAUGUUUUGUGUCUGUCUGUUGGUUGUUUGAGUAUUUCUGGGAUCAUCUGACAAACCAAAUAAGCUUCUGAACCUGUUUCUGAUAAAUUGAUUGGUAAAGGAAACAAGGUCAUCUUUACGCUUUAUCCCAGUUUUUAAUAACAAUUUAAAGAAAGAAAGAAACAAGGAAAGAGAUUUAUCAGUAUUAACCUAAAUGAAAUGAUGACAUCACUAAAAAUAUACAGGAAAUAUUGUCAGUUUUAGUUUUAUUACUGAAUGUUUCACGUGGCUUUGGUGGGUUUGUUUGUUAAGAAUUGGGACUGGAUGACUUCAAAAAGUGAUGUAUAUAUAGACUCUGACAAAUACCUUACCUUACCUCAGUUUUAGUUUUACCUUAACAGAAAACUAACACUGAAUAUCAAAUCCACUCUGAAAACUAACUGGAACUGUGCAAUUGUAGCCUCAGUUUCCCAUUCUUAGCUGAGGAGCACCCAGUGGGGUCUUGUGCUGCUGUAGCCCACCUGCUUCAAGGUUCCAGAGCCUUCAGUUAUGCUCUUGUGCACACCUUGGUUGUAAAAACUGACUAUUUAAGUUUAAGUUGCCUUGUUAUCAGCUCAAAGCACUUUGGCUUUUCUCCCGAGACCUCUGACAUCAACAAAGUGCUGCUCUGGGUAUUUUCUCUUUUUCAAUGAUUCUCUGUAAACUCACGAAAUAUUUGUGCAGGAAAGUCCCAGCAGAUCAGCUUAUUUGGGGCCAACAACCAUGUCACAUUCAAAACCAUUUAAACCACAUUUUUUCCUCUUCCUGAUACUCAGUUUGAACUUCAGCAGAAUAUCUUCACCAUGUCUACAUGUAUAAAAGCCCUGAACUGCAGCCACGUGAUUGGCUAAUUACAUAUUUGUGUUAAUGGAGAAGUUGAACAGGUGUACAUAAUAAAUUGUCUGGUAAGUGGAUGACACAGUGGAACUCAAACUACCUUCCUGGGUGGUAUUUAAUAGUAUACUGAUACUGUAAUGUCUUAACUUUCUCUGUUAUUUCAGAGCAGUGUUGAAGUGAAAGCACUAAUCUGUAACCCCCCUGCAACGUAUCAGGUGUAAGGGGUCAAUUUAUUUUGUUUUUGUUUCCCAUUUUAUUGUCUUAAAACCUCGUUUAUAGCUUUAGAAAUGUACACACAGACUGCACGUUCACAUUUUUUUAGUGCAUUCGACUGAAAAGUAUUUCUUCUUCAAAGUCAGGACAUUUUGUGUGCACCUCAGUAGCCUGUUUUUGGUCAGGCGAGAGUGAGGAGCAGUUUCUUAUUAAAGCCCGCUGACACAUUGAUCCUUCAACAGCCCCCAGGAGACCAAUCCUCAUCUCAACCACUUUAGAUGCUUUCACAGGAAAUCAACUCAAAAGCAUCUUCUUUUUCCCCUCCUUUCUGGUCUUCCAGCUCUCUACCACCCGUGUCUCACCCAUCUGAAGUCUAAAUAUGGUAUCUACAGUGUUCUGAUCAAUGACGCCCACUGAGGAGGCCGUGCUGUUUGUGUGCACAGUAACGUUACGGGUCCUCUGCCAUCGAGCUGUGCAGUAUGUGAGCACAAAGGACAAAAGGGAAAGCGGUGACCUUUUGUGGCACAAUGAGAGGAAUUAAAAAGGAACAAUGUGAUAGUAAUUUGGAGGCAUUGAGACACUGACGGAACAGGACUAGAACAGAUGUGAUGUGGCAUAGCCAGGGAGGAAGCUGGGGAUGAGCAUUAGGCUAAAGCGGCCACUGCCCCCUCGAGGCCUCUGUCGAUUCAUCCUUCCGGCAGGAAGUGUUUAAGGAUCAAUAAGAAGCGAGGGUCUCCGGAGAGAGACAAAGAGAGAGCCUUCGUGCAGCCCAGGUCUCUUUUUGUUUCAUUAAGCGGCUCCUCGCCCUGUUCUGGGCUUGAAUUGAGAAUAACGAGCUUAAAGGUUUCUGUCUCCAUUUCUUCAUCACUGCUAAUGAAAACAGCAGUGAGAGGCUGCUCCUCGCAUGGCCAUCCAAACCAAAAGGUUUCUUAUCUGUCAUUUUUAACACUUUUUAAAACUUUUUAACUACUACACAAUAUCAUUAGAUUAAAAGUAUCUCAUUCACACUCUCAGAAAUUGAGUCAUUUUCCUCUAAAAUGUGUUUAUUUAGUUUUGUUGUCACGUCCUCCAUUCAUCUUUUGAAGCAGGAAGGUUUCUCAGCAUUCAGCUCACCUUAGUCUUACACUAUAUACUGCAUUUAUAAUAGCAGCUUACAUAAAUGACGCCUAUAGUUUCAUAAAAACUGUGGUUCUGCAUGCAGUUUACGCUUUUAUGUGUGCAGUUACACACCAGCUGAAUCAGUGACAGUCAUGUUAGCCACUGCACUGCAACUUAAAUUAUUUCAUCUAAUUAUUGUAGGUGAAGGAAUCAAAUGUUCCUUAAACUCGUCUUUGAUUAAUGAAACAUUGUUCUUGCGCCGUAUGAUUUAAACACAAAAGCAGUUAGUUAGUAGUUAUCAGAAACUAAAAUCAUGUGUGAAGUUGUGUAUCUGUACAUGUGUAACAAACACAGACUGUAAAUAAAAGACGGUCAUACUCUAGCGCUCAUAACCACCCACCGGUUUGUAGACCCACAGCCUGAAGCCUCAGGCUUACUUUUAUUGCAACUACCAUCUUGGGUUUUGUGUGAAAAGUGUCCAUAUUUGCAAAGGAGGGUGGACUGCUACUACAGUACUGUGAAAAAGUAUUUUUGCCAUGGUCCGGGGUGUGUGGCUGGAAUUUUCCAUCAGGCUCCUGAGUCUACCUGGUAUCCACCCCUGGGCAGGGCUGCCUCCUCCUACAGUUCCACACACCUGGAGCUGAUUGCAGGUAAUCAAACCAGAGUGAACCUCCGGAUCUCAGGUCAGCCAUUCCACACCACUCAGCUCACUCAGGAUUCACGUCACCCCUCUCUCAUCACUCACUUCCUCCACCUGCAAUCUGUCUGCUUAACUGACCCCUCCAGUCUGCAUCUCUGGCCCAAUUCCCCCUCUCUAGAUCCACAUCCACUUAACCACGUUAACUAGGCCUCGCCACAUCAAGUUCUGUGUUUUUGUUGCCUUUUGUCCUUGUCAUGCUUUCAAGUUUAACUAAUAAACAUUGUGAAACGUC